UGGCGGACGGGUGAGUAACACGUAAGAACCUGCCUCUAGGACGGGGACAACAGUUGGAAACGACUGCUAAACCCGGAUGAGCCGAAAGGUAAAAGAUUUAUCGCCUAGAGAGGGGCUUGCGUCUGAUUAGCUAGUUGGUAAGGUAAAGGCUUACCAAGGCGACGAUCAGUAGCUGGUCUGAGAGGAUGAUCAGCCACACUGGGACUGAGACACGGCCCAGACUCCUACGGGAGGCAGCAGUGGGGAAUUUUCCGCAAUGGGCGAAAGCCUGACGGAGCAAGACCGCGUGGGGGAGGAAGGUUCUUGGAUUGUCAACCCCUUUUCUCAGGGAAGAACUCAAUGACGGUACCUGAGGAAAAAGCAUCGGCUAACUCCGUGCCAGCAGCCGCGGUAAUACGGGGGAUGCAAGCGUUAUCCGGAAUGAUUGGGCGUAAAGAGUCCGUAGGUAGUCAAUCAAGUCUGCUGUUAAAGAGCGAGGCUUAACUUCGUAAAGGCAGUGGAAACUGUAAGACUAGAGUGUAGUAGGGGCAGAGGGAAUUCCUGGUGUAGCGGUGAAAUGCGUAGAGAUCAGGAAGAACACCGGUGGCGAAGGCGCUCUGCUGGGCUAUAACUGACACUGAGGGACGAAAGCUAGGGGAGCGAAUGGGAUUAGAUACCCC
rnacentral:rRNA from 1 species